GGCAUCGCCAUGAGCCGAACCGCGCGCGAACCCUCGCGGUGCCCCUGCAUGGUCUCGUGUGCAAGAACGACAGCGAUUAGCCCCGGCCGCGUCCACCGUAGGCCGGCCGGCGGCCGUGAGAUGCAGGGCGUCGGCCGCGGUCUGGCAUGCUGACCUGCGCCGACACGCCCCUACCGACUCUGCACACGCUGGCGCCGGGUCUACUGUUCACCUGUCACGUGUCCCGACGGUCGUCCGAAGCGCGCUCCGGGGCGCGUAAUGCCGCUCUGACACCGCCCAUCGCCAGUGUUGCGGACCCACCACGGAACGCGGCGAAGCGCAUACCGCGCCGCCCCAGUACGUGCGCGCGCACAUCUCCCAAGUCUGCGCAGGCGGUGGCCGCGCAGGUUCCCGCGCUGAGUGUCGCUACGACCAGCCAGGACUCGGCGCCGAGGACGCCACGAAGCGACGCCGAGCAGCUGCUGCAGGCGCCGGCCGCCCAGCCUGGAGCUACGACGCCAUUCCGGGACACCACAGAAGCCGAUGGCGAGCGCACCCCUAAGCAGCCGGCCGCGGUCAGUCCCGGUGGCGCGCGCGAGAUCGGCUCCAAGGCCGGCUCUCCGAUGCGCAGAAAUUCACCGCCAGCUGUCCCAGGUCCCUCCGGAGUCGCACCGCACGGCUCGACUCCGGCGCAGCAGCCCACGUCUCCGGCCGACGAACCCGCGGCGGGUGUGAAGGGGGAGCCCGAGGAUUCGAACUCGUUGAAAUGGAUGUCGACCAAAGAGCCUGGCGCGAAGGUGAAGCGGCGAGACGACGAGGAGUCGUCCGCCGGCCCGUCGCACGUGCAGCUGCAGUCACCUGCCGCUAGUCCCAUCGCGCCCAAGAAGCGCAGCCAGCGGCUGUGCCAUGCCGCGGUCGCCGACACCAGGAAGACCUCGGGCGGCGGCUCGCGCACCGAGUUCUGCGGUAUCCUGUCGGGGCUUCUGGGCAGGUUUAGAAUCAAGUCGAUCUCGUUGGGCGAUGUGGACGAGGUGACGUUCUGGAAGAACCCGGGUGAGUCCGGAGACUGGCACCUGGGCUUCCUGCAGCAACUGCAUGUUCUCGGGAAAGGCAGCUUCGGCGUCGUCUACCUCGUGCGCCACAAGCUAACCAAGGAGCUCGCUGCGCUCAAGUGUAUCGAGAAACACCACCGCGAACAGGCCAAGGAAGCCCGACGCGUGGAGGCUGAACGUUUGGCAUGGCAAGCAGUUUCGCACCACCCUUACGUGGCUACGUUGAAGGCCUACUACGAGACUACGAAAGCGUGGUGCUUCAUCAUGGAGUACGUGCCUCGAGGCACCCUUAGUCAAAUCAUCCGACGGUCGGGACCCUUGCCAGAAAGCAAGGCCAAGGUGGUGUCUGCUCAGCUGGCCCACGCGCUCAACUUCGUCCACGAUGCCGGCUACCUGCACCGUGACAUAAGUUCAUCGAACGUGCUUCUUGAUGAGCGUGGUAACGCUCGCCUUAUCGACUUCGGCCUCUGCCAGCUAGGACUGGAGGCCAGGAACCGCUGCGGAUCGCUCGCCUACAUGGCACCGGAAGUGCUCCGUAGGGAGCACUACGGCGUCGGCGCUGAUUGGUGGUCAUUCGGCAUCGUCCUAUACACCAUGCUCAUCGGUAAAACGCCACUCUCUCAGUACGCCGCCGAGCAGAACAUCAACAUCCAAACAACCAGGAGAGAGCUUCGCUAUUCCAUGGCCCUGGCAGCUCCUCUUCGGUUUCCCCGAUCAUUGACAGACGAAGCGUACAACAUUUUGCAGGAGAUUCUUCGCGAGGAUCCUGCAAUGCGGCUCGGGUGUCGUGCGAGCGGCGUACCCGGCAACGGUGGCUUCCAGGAGAUGAUGCAGCACAAAUUCUUCGCUACCAUCGAGUGGCGGGCGCUCAUAGGAGAUGUACGCCUAAAUCCUCGCUCGGUCUCCCGGACCCCAAGAGAAGAAGCUGCAGCUAGCGGAAGUAAGCCGUAAUCACAUACGCUGCCCAGUCGAGCCACGCGCCAGCGAAGCCUUCUCGACCUGAGAGGCAUCAUCCGGCGCCGCUUGGUCUCGGCGGCCGCAGUGACGCCGAGCUCGAGUCCCAAGCGGCAGGAGUGACGCAACGCUUGGGAUCCAGGACGUGCGCGGCGGCCAGGCGGAGGAGGGCUGCCGCCGAGGCCCGGUGUCGCGACUCGCCGCGACGUCCGGUGCCGCAGGACUGGUGCGGCCCGCGGCCGCUGCCCCGUCGGGCGUUGCCGAAGACGUCAUUGCUGCCCGAGACGAGCGAGGCGGAGGGAUUUUUUUAACAAUAAAGGACCACGGUGUGGAGCGAGUUCCAACUAG